AUUGAACGCUGGCGGAAUGCUUUACACAUGCAAGUCGAACGGCAGCACGGACUUCGGUCUGGUAGCGAGUGGCGAACGGGUGAGUAACAUAUCGGAACGUAUCCAAUAAUGGGGGAUAACGAGUCGAAAGAUUCGCUAAUACCGCAUACGCCCUACGGGGGAAAGCUGGGGACCUUCGGGCCUGGCGUUAAUGGAGCGGCCGAUAUCUGAUUAGCUAGUUGGUGAGGUAAAGGCUCACCAAGGCGACGAUCAGUAGCUGGUCUGAGAGGACGACCAGCCACACUGGAACUGAGACACGGUCCAGACUCCUACGGGAGGCAGCAGUGGGGAAUUUUGGACAAUGGGCGCAAGCCUGAUCCAGCCAUUCCGCGUGAGUGAAGAAGGCCUUCGGGUUUUAAACUGCUUUUGUACAGAACGAAAAGGUUUCUACUAAUACUAGGAGCUCAUGACGGUACUGUAAGAAUAAGCACCGGCUAACUACGUGCCAGCAGCCGCAGUAA
rnacentral:rRNA from 1 species